UUAACUUAACUUUGGAUGGGGUCGGAACGUUUUGUCUACGUUUGCCGCUAGGGGCGCUGUUCCAACUGCAUACAAACAGUUA
rnacentral:pre_miRNA from 1 species